AGCGAAUAGAUACCCGGGUAGUCCACGCCGUAAACGAUGGGCACUAGGUGUCGGGGGUAUCCACUCCCUCGGUGCCGCCGCUAAACGCAUUAAGUGCCCCGCCUGGGAAGUACGGUCGCAAGAUUAAAACUCAAAGGAAUUGACGGGGGCCCGGCACAAGCGGUGGAGCAUGUGGUUCAAUUCGAUGCAACGCGAAGAACCUUACCUGGGUUUGACAUCUGGCGAAUGUUGGUGAAAGCCGACAGUGCCCGCAAGGGAGCGCCAAGACAGGUGCUGCAUGGCUGUCGUCAGCUCGUGCCGUGAGGUGUUAGGUUAAGUCCUGCAACGAGCGCAACCCCGUAUCCGUAGUUGCCCCCGGGGUUGAGGCCGUGGCACUCUACGGAGACUGCCCGUGUUAAGCGGGAGGAAGGU
rnacentral:rRNA from 1 species